rnacentral:rRNA from 1 species
AAUCAACGCUGGCGGCGUGCCUAACACAUGCAAGUCGAACGCGAAAGCCCCUUCGGGGGCAAGUAGAGUGGCGUCCGGGUGAGUAACACGUGGGUAAUCUACCUCCGGGUGGGGAAUAACUCGCCGAAAGGCGGGCUAAUACCGCAUAAUGCAGCGGCACCGAAUGGUGAUUAGUUGUUAAAGCGGGGGACCUUAGGGCCUCGCGUCUGGAGAGGAGCCUGCGGCAGAUUAGCUUGUUGGAGGGUAAUGGCCUACCAAGGCUGCGAUCUGUAGCUGGUCUGAGAGGACGGCCAGCCACACUGGCACUGACACACGGGCCAGACUCCUACGGGAGGCAGCAGUGGGGAAUUUUGGGCAAUGGGCGAAAGCCUGACCCAGCAACGCCGCGUGAAGGAGGAAAUCCUUCGGGAUGUAAACUUCACAAGCAAGGGAAGAGCGCGCAGGGUCGAAUAAACUCUGCGUCCGACGGUACCUUGCGUAAGCCACGGCUAACUACGUGCCAGCCGCCGC